AAACAGGAACCGAUCAGACCUAGGGGAUAAUGGUGAAUUAACAAAAUAGAGGAAUCCAAAACCAGAAAAAAUCUAAAUUCCUCUCUAAAUUGUUUGAAGACUCCAUUUGUCAUAGCUGUUUGUUCGCAUACUUCUUUCUCCUGCAGCAUUCGACUGCAUACCCACAUGUGUCAUGACUAAGUUCAUAGAUUGAAAGCGAAAGACAGUAGAGUGGAAACCUUUUCGGAAUGUGGAAGUACCUUCAUUGUUUGACCUCUUGAGUUUACUGAUGGUAAAGGUGAAUGCGGGAACAGAGGCUUGGCAGGAGUUUAUGGCAACGCUCAAGUUCAGAGAGUUGGAAUAUAGCUAGAGAUUGUUAACAGACUUCGUAGGAAAGUGUGGCUUCUGUCCUCAGUCGAUGAGAAACAAAAAAGAUCAACAGGUGGGGAGAUGCUGCUUUAUUCAAUGAGGUCGAUUGUUGACUCAAAAUUUUUAGUUCUGACAAGAACUAUGAUCCAUGGUUUCGAUUGAUAGGCUUUUCCUUAGUUUCUCAUUAUCAAAUCACAAUCUGGCCAUAAAUAAGAUUAGACAUGUCAGAAUC